AGAGUCCAUAUCGACGGCAGUGUUUGGCACCUCGAUGUCGGCUCAUCUCAUCCUGGGGCUGGAGCAGGUCCCAAGGGUACGGCUGUUCGCCGUUUAAAGAGGUACGUGAGCUGGGUUUAGAACGUCGUGAGACAGUUCGGUCCCUAUCUUCCGUGGGUGUAGGAUACUUGAGAGGAGUUGCCCCUAGUACGAGAGGACCGGGGUGAACGAUCCACUGGUGGACCUGUUGUUGCGCCAGCAGCAGUGCAGGGUAGCUAUGAUCGGACAGGAUAACCGCUGAAGGCAUCUAAG
rnacentral:rRNA from 1 species